rnacentral:misc_RNA from 1 species
GAUGAAGAACGUAGCGAAAUGCGAUACGUAAUGUGAAUUGCAGAAUUCAGUGAAUCAUCGAGUCUUUGAACGCACAUUGCGCCCCCUGGUAUUCCGGGGGGCAUGCCUGUCAGAGCGUCAUUGCUGCCCUCAAGCACGGCUUGUGUGUUGGGCCUCCGUCCUCCUCCCGGGGGACGGGCCCGAAAGGCAGCGGCGGCACCGCGUCCGGUCCUCGAGCGUAUGGGGCUUCGUCACCCGCUCUUGUAGGCCCGGCCGGCGCUUGCCGACACAUCAAUCUUUUUUCCAGGUUGACCUCGGAUCAGGUAGGGAUACCCGCUGAACUUAAGCAUAUCAAUAAGCGGAGGA